rnacentral:rRNA from 1 species
UACGAAGGGUGCAAGCGUUACUCGGAAUUACUGGGCGUAAAGCGUGCGUAGGUGGUUUGUUAAGUCUGUUGUGAAAGCCCCGGGCUCAACCUGGGAAUGGCAAUGGAUACUGGCAAGCUAGAGUGCGGUAGAGGGUAGUGGAAUUCCCGGUGUAGCGGUGAAAUGCGUAGAGAUCGGGAGGAACACCAGUGGCGAAGGCGGCUACCUGGACCAGCACUGACACUGAGGCACGAAAGCGUGGGGAGCAAACGUG